rnacentral:rRNA from 1 species
UACGGAAGGCAGCAGUGGGGAAUAUUGCACAAUGGGCGAAAGCCUGAUGCAGCUAUGCCGCGUGUAUGAAGAAGGCCUUAGGGUUGUAAAGUACUUUCAUCGGGGAGGAAAAAACAAAACUAAUAAUUUUAUUUCUUGACGUUACCCGAAAAAGAAGCACCGGCUAACUCCGUGCCAGCAGCCGCGGUAAUACGGAGGGUGCUAGCGUUAAUCAGAAUUACUGGGCGUAAAGAGCACGUAGGUGGUUUUUUAAAGUCAGAUGUGAAAUCCCUGGGCUUUAACCUAGGAACUGCAUUUUGAAACUGAAAUACUAGAGUAUCGUAGAGGGAGGUAGAAUUCUAGGUGUAGCGGUGAAAUGCGUAGAUAUCUGGAGGAAUACCUGUGGCGAAAGCGGCCUCCUAAACGAAUACUGACACUGAGGUGCGAAAGCGUGGGGAGCAAACAGGGAUUAGAUACC